rnacentral:rRNA from 1 species
CACAAGCGGUGGAGCAUGUGGUUUAAUUCGAUGAUGCGCGAAAACCUUACCUGGCCUUGACAUGUAGCGAACUUUCCAGAGAUGGAUUGGUGCUCGAAAGAGAACGCUAACACAGGUGCUGCAUGGCUGUCGUCAGCUCGUGUCGUGAGAUGUUGGGUUAAGUCCCGCAACGAGCGCAACCCUUGCCAUUAAUUGCCAUCAUUUAGUUGGGCACUUUAAUGGGACUGCCGGUGACAAACCGGAGGAAGGUGGGGAUGACGUCAAGUCCUCAUGGCCCUUAUGGCCAGGGCUUCACACGUAAUACAAUGGUCGGUACAGAGGGUUGCCAAGCCGCGAGGUGGAGCCAAUCCCAGAAAGCCGAUCGUAGUCCGGAUUGUAGUCUGCAACUCGACUACAUGAAGUCGGAAUCGCUAGUAAUCGCGGAUCAGCAUGUCGCGGUGAAUACGUUCCCGGGCCUU